rnacentral:lncRNA from 1 species
UCCAUAAAAUCAGAAAUCAAACCUGGUCUGGUUAUGUUCCUGCUCUCUAUAUCCUUCUUCUCCCCUGUUAACAGCUUCACCACCGUGGACAUACUUGGCCUUAGCUUAGGAUUGUCUUGCGUGCACAAAAGACCUAUUUUUAGGUACCGGCAAGCUUCCUCUCCGUCAAAGACUCCGUUUAGCCCUGUGUCAACGAGAUCCACGAGCUCAUUUCGCUCAUAAAGAUCCCAAGCCUGUGGAAAUGCAAGAAAAAAAGUUAUAUCUCUAAAACCAAAGAGCUUACAAAAGAACAUAAAAGGCAAGAGACUUACUCUUUCUAGAAGAUAUUGAUACCCCUGGGGUAACCGUGUGUUUUUGUUACUUCUUGCACUAACUAUCUCCAUCAGAAGGACUCCAUAGCUGUAAACAUCAGCUUUGCGCGUAACCUGUCCCCUAACCGCAUACUCUGGCGCUAGAUAACCACUGCACAAACCAGAUGUUAAUUAAGAACCUUUACUUAUAGCGAGAAUAUAAAAAAAAACGCUUGAAACUCACAUUGUACCGGCGACACGAGUGCUGACAUGAGUCAUGUUCGGCGGCAUAAGCUUGGCGAGUCCAAAAUCAGCUAUCUUGGGAGAUAAGUCUCUGUCAAGUAGAAUGUUGCUCGCCUUGAUAUCUCUAUGAAUAAUGUGAGGCCUUACUUCUUCAUGAAGAAAGGCAAGACCUUUAGCAACCCCAACGCAGAUUCUGGACCGAGUUCUCCAAUCAAACUGUAUCCCACUCUUAAUGUAUCCCCCAGCUGAAAAAAAAACAUUCAUCCAUCGAGAAUAUGACAUUAAAGAAACUGACAAACAAACUACGAGAAUCACCUAAGAGGGUCUUAUCAAGGCUAUUGUUCUCCAGAUAGUUGUAGACAAGUAUCCUGUGAUUCCCUUCCACGCAGCAUCCGUAUAACUUAACCAGAUUCUCAUGCUGUAUCUCUGAUAUGACGUUGAUCUCAGUCAAGAACUCUUUCACGCCUUGUCUUGACUCAGCGGAAAGGACUUUGAUAGCUGCAAUCUUUCCAUCUUUAAGACGGCCCUAUAAUCAUUGUUUGGGUUAAGAAGAUGACGAGAGAAGAGCAAGGAAGUGAGUUUUCUCAUUUUACCUUGUACACAGAGCCAAACCCUCCCUCUCCAAUUUUAUUUAGGGCGUCGAAAUCAUCAGUAGCUUGACGAAUCUCUUUGUAUUUGUAAAUCUUUACCUUGAUUAUCGCUGAGAUCUCUGUAAGCAAGAAAGAUAAACAAACACUAAGUUAAGAGGAAACCAGCAACAAGACUAUGCAUAGUUAACAUUCCAAGCUUAAAAGUAGUAUAUGUUACCUCUAUCAACUUGUGAAGGUUCUCCUCCACUCUUAUGGCAUGAGAAACAGGAGCCCAUCAUUGUAAUAAGACAGACCUGUGAACUGUUGAUGCCAUCAAUUAUAAUGAUUACACACGAAGAAAGAAACGAGACCAGUUCAGAGAUUUGAAUUCUAACUAGUAAACCAGAGAUAAGAUCGAAUCCAAUUACUACUACUCAAUAGAAUCUCUAUCCAAGUAAGAAACUCCCCAAAGACCUCAGAAGCUAAAGCAACUUAAAAAAAAAGCUGCCGACUUUGAAUUUGGGUUUCUUAGGAUUGAGAACAAAAACUCAAAACAGACACAAAUAAAACGAAAUUCAGCGGAAAAAUAGAAAGAAAGAGAAACCCACCUCAGAGAGAGUUGAAAUUGGUAUAAAAAAGGCUCUGACUUUACGCGAUCAGAGUCGCUCUGUCUCUCUUAUUAUCCUCGCUGUGUGUGUGUGGAUAUCAGAGAUUAAGGAUUUGAUGAAAAUGGAGUAGGAGAGGGAAAGAAUGAAGAAGAAGGAAGAAGAAGGGGUCUUUGUAAAUCUGAAGCACGCGUCAGUACUAUAUCUUGUGCGUUGCUCCGACGACUAAGCAAUGCUACAGUCUUUCUUCUCUUUUUGUACUUUUCUUUAUUUUAUCUCAUGUUAAAAUUGUCUGUUCUCAUAGGACGGCUCGGAGUAAUGCACUCAGACGUGUAUUCUCACAAAGUAGUAGAAUUAUCGACUGUAAAAUCGUCUAUGUAAUGUUCUCAAAAAAAAAAAAUUGUCUAUUCUCUUUGUUUAUGUAAUAAAUUAUCGUUUACCCGCCAAUCAUCUCGCGGAAUAUUAUUUUAACAGAGUUGUAAUUUGUAAAGAAAACCAAAAAAAAAAAUAAAAAAAUCACACUUUUAUCCGCUAGGGUUUUUGAAGUUUGGCUCGUGCGUCGCGAUAAUCGCCAAUGGCGAAACCUAGCCGCGGCCGUCGUUCACCUUCCGUCUCUGGGUCUUCAUCUCGGUCCCCCGCCGAAGAAGGAAAACUAUAAGAAGAAAGAGUUACCAGUGGUUACGAUGAACUAUUCUCCAAACCGCACAAGACUAUAUAUGUUGCACGCCUAAAACUCACGGCAAAAAGUCAAACUAGGAUGAGAAAUCGUGGAAAGAUAUUGAAUACUUUUUCUUUGGUUUGUGAACCAUAGCGUAUGUACCAUCCAGCUGUAGACAAAAAUAAUAAUAAUAAUCAGAAUGUCAUUUAAUGAAAUAAUCGACAUUUCAACUAUAGGAUCAUGGACAAAAUGAGUCGUUGACUCUUGGCAAAAACCACAGUAGGUGUACUUGUCAUGUAGAAAUCAUAUACCGUUAAAGCUCCAAAUCAUCACUAAACUAUGAAAUGUACAGAACAAGUGACACAAAAAUAGAUAUAGCAUAUGGCUAAUGGAUCAUGGGAACCUCAAGUGGUGACUUACUGGUUAAUCAAUCGGACAGUGAUUGGUUUAACCUCUCGGUUAAGACGCAUUCAAGACAACUGAAUCAAUGAAGCUACAACAUAUAGAUAUCAGACAUCAUAACUAUUUUUUGGGGACCAAUUCAGAUACGGUUUCAAUCUUAUAUACAUACACACAAAUCUAUGAUUGCAACUAAAGACAAAAUCUAACAGAAAGAAACCUUCUGUUUGGGUCCAAGGAAGAAGAAGAAGAAGAUGAUGGGACCACAAAAACAUCAAAGACAAAAAAAAAACGUUUUCUCCUUUUCUUUUCUAAAUGGUACUGCUGAGUGUAGAAACCGCAGUAGAUGAAGAAGCCCCUGACGAGUAAGCAUUUGAGUUAUCUCUAGUCCCGGUGCUAGACGAGGCAUUAUCUGAAGAAAGAUUCGUGUAGUAGUUGCUGCGUCUGUUCACUUCCUCUGGCUUUUUCUCGACCGGUCCUUUCACUUUCAAGUCCAUAAAAUCAGAAAUCAAACCCGGUCUGGUUAUGUUCCUGCUCUCUAUAUCCUUCUUCUCCCCUGUUAACAGCUUCACCACCGUGGACAUACUUGGCCUUAGCUUAGGAUUGUCUUGCGUGCACAAAAGACCUAUUUUUAGGUACCGGCAAGCUUCCUCUCCGUCAAAGACUCCGUUUAGCCCUGUGUCAACGAGAUCCACGAGCUCAUUUCGCUCAUAAAGAUCCCAAGCCUGUGGAAAUGCAAGAAAAAAAGUUAUAUCUCUAAAACCAAAGAGCUUACAAAAGAACAUAAAAGGCAA